GACGAACGCUGGCGGCGUGCUUAACACAUGCAAGUCGAACGGAAAGGCCCUGCUUGCAGGGUACUCGAGUGGCGAACGGGUGAGUAACACGUGGGUGAUCUGCCCUGCACUUCGGGAUAAGCCUGGGAAACUGGGUCUAAUACCGGAUAGGAGCCAUUUUUAGUGUGAUGGUUGGAAAGUUUUUUCGGUGUAGGAUGAGCUCGCGGCCUAUCAGCUUGUUGGUGGGGUAAUGGCCUACCAAGGCGGCGACGGGUAGCCGGCCUGAGAGGGUGGACGGCCACAUUGGGACUGAGAGACGGCCCAGACUCCGACGGGAGGCAGCAGUGGGGAAGAUUGAACAAGGGGCGCAAGCCUGAUGCAGCGACGCCGCGUGGGGGAUGACGGCCUUCGGGUUGUAAACUCCUUUCGCUAGGGACGAAGCUUUUUGUGACGGUACCUAGAGAAGAAGCACCGGCUAACUACGUG
rnacentral:rRNA from 1 species